CCUCGGGCCCCGCGACUGGCGUUUUUUCCUCGGCGCGUCUGAGAGCCUACGAGUUCCCCUCUGGGCCUCCCAGCUUCUUUUAGUUAAGGAGUCCUCGAGGCCUAGCGUGCUGGUUACCAGAGCUUCUAGAAGCGGCUUGCCGGCUCCUGGCAUUUUCCGGGCCAGACUGGUUCUGAGGACGCGUCAGGGAGACCCGUUGGACCCAGGUCUAGCGUUGCCUUCGUUCGGCCAGCGCCCGGGAGCUCGACUCCAGAUUCCCUGGGGCUGGAGAAGCCGUUGUUUCAUCCGUCGGGGCCAGAGGUGCAGAUGACUAAGAGGUUGUUUUUCGUCCAGAAUUCUACAGUUUGUUGUCCUUACGAGGAGUCUCCUGAUUUGGCCUUAUGGGGGAUUUGCUACACCUGGGAUCUAGGACCUGUAUCUCUAGAAUUACAGAAAUGGAUUCUUUUGUGAUUUAUAUUUAAUGAACGUGUCAACUUCCAAGAUUAAUCAUGAAAAUUUUGAUUUGGAAGAGACCCUUUGUUUGGAAUAUGUUUGCCCCAGAUAUCUUCAUGGCUUAUUCUCUACCAAAAUGGAUUCUGUGGGACUGCCCUUUUAUUUUGUUAUAAUUGGUCCACUUUCUGGUUUUUUCCUUUCCCUUCAUUUGGAAGCGCUGUUAGAAAUGUUUACAGUACACUUACUCCUCACAAAAGCCCUGUGAAGUAGACAUUAUUAACUCCUUUUUAAGGAUGCUGCUAAUAAAAGCCAGAAUGUGUUAUGAAGGUACAACCCAAGCUGCAACUUCACUCUUCAGCAGCAGGAACUACUCUCUAAUGUAUGAUGUACUCCAGAUUGAAAAUUCCUCAAGUGAAAUGCUUGAGAUUAAGUAAGGUGUCCUUAUAAGAAGAGGAACAGACGCCAAGGAUGCAUGUACACAGAGAAGAGACCAUGUAAGGAUACAUUGAAAAGGUGGCCAUCUGCAGGCCAAGAAAAGAGGCCUUAGGAGGAACCAAACCUGCUGACACUUUGAUCUUGGAUUUCUAGCACCUAGAACUAUGAGAAAAUAAAUUUCUGUUGUCUGAGCCACCCACUGCCAUCUCCAGGGAAUAGCUGGGUGAAUAUAUUUGCAAGUAACUAUUCUUUUUCCUUUCCUAUAUAUACUGGUUAAAAUUGUAGGUCUCACAGGUUAUCAAAAGUUCAGAAACAGAUAUAAGUAUACAUAUAAGAACAUGCAAUAUAGUAAAAUACUUAAAAAGUCAGUAGGGGUAAGGAUGAGUUAAUUAAGAAAUAGUAUUGGAGAAUCACUUGAAAAAACAACAUUUAACUCCCUUACCUCACAGAUUAUACAAAAAAUUAACUUCAGAUGGAAUAAAGAUUUAAAUGUUGAAAAAGAAACAUGGAAAUACUAAAAUAUAAAGAUUAACAUUUUAAUGUAAUCCAGGGUACAGAAGCCAUGUUUAAACAUAUGUAAACAUAAGUACUAAAAGAAGAAACUUUUAAAAAUGGAAAAAAUUGAUAGAUUUGAUUGCAUAAAAAGUGUGGUUGGUCCUGGCAGAGUGGACAGGACCAUUUGUGGUCCAGUGCUCAACAUUUGUGAAUUCAAGGAAGAACUUAUAAUAAUUAAACAUGUUCUUUCCAGGUAUAUUUGAGGGCAAACAACAUGGAACAUAUAAACUGGUCUCAAGAGACAUUUUGGAUCAUCUGGUAAAGACAAUUAUAGCAGAUUACAACCAUCUUCUGAAGUCUUGGAGACAGUCCCCAAGGAACUUUUGGGAACACAUGAAGGUGACGUUAGAAUGCUGGUGAAAGCUGAGGUCGUCACUGUCCAUGCAGGAUAUGAAGUAGAAGCCUCAAACCCUGUGAUGGCAGGAUAUCACACACAGUGAAGAUGAGAGGUCUUCUUUUCCUGGACCAUUCAAGGAUGAACAUCAUCUGAGAAGUUAUCCCUCUGUAAUUCUAGAGAGAAAGAGAUGGAGCUGCAGCUAACCAGGCCUUCCAUCCAGGUACUGCCUCAUUGGUCUAAGUAUGGGCAGCUGACCCAAGUGGAGCUGUUCUGGGAAUAUAUUCAACAGAAUCAGACUGAGGGAUUGAGCUUCAGUCUAGUUACUCUCUUGAGUGAAAGAGACUUUUAAAGGUAGGAGCUCUUGGCAACCAUAUUCUGCCCUAUAGACUAAAACAAGAGAGAGUAAAUUAGAGAGCAAAGAGAAUAAAGUAGAAAUGAGAGACAAAGAAUGGCAUUUAAGUUCUUGGAUCCAGCUGUUAUUGAAGCCACACUGCACUUUCUGUCCUUGGUUUCAUGAGACAUCCUAAUACCCUUCUAAUAAAUUCCUUCUUUUAGCUUAGGCUUCAGUUGGUUUUGUUUUCUGUUAUAGGCAACUAAAAGUGUUCUAAUUGGUACAGUCACCAGUUUGUUUCACAGGAUAGUGGAAGAGCUCUCUCUUUCUCAUAUAUAUGAUUUUUUAUUAGAUACUUUUUUUAUUGUGGUAAAAAAGGUAAUAUGAAACUUACUAUCUUAACCAUUUUAAGUGUACAGUUCAGUAAUGUUAAGUAUAUUCACAUUCUUGUGAAAAAAAUCUCCAAAACUUUUUCAUUUUGCAAAUCUGAAACUAUACCCAUUAAACAACAACUCCGUAUCCUUUCCCCUUGGCCCCAGCUCCUGGUAACCAUCAUUGUACUUUGUUUCUAUGAAUUUGAUUACUUCAGAUACUUUAUAAGUGGAAUCAAAUGGUAGGAUCAAAUAAUAUUUAUCUUUCUGUGACGGGCUUCACUUAUAGCAUAAUAUCCUGAAAAUUCAUCCAUGUUGUAGCAUGCAAAAGGAUUUCCUUCCUUUUUAAGGCUGAAUAACGUUGCAUUGUAUGUAUACCACAUUUUGUUUAUCCAUUCGUCUGCUGGUGGACAUUGGGGCUGCUUCCUCCUCUUGGUUAUCGUGAAUAAUGCUGCUGUAAACAUGGGUGUGCAAAUAUAUCUUUGAGACACUGCUUUCAGUUUUUUCAGUCCCACAGAAAUGGGACUGCUAGAUCAUUUGGAAGUUCUAUUUUAAGUUUUUUGAGGAACCUCCCAUACUGUUUUCUAUAGUGGUUGCACCAUUUUACAGUCUCACCAUCAUACACAAGUAUUCCAAUUUCUUCUCAUCCUCACCAACACUUGUUGUUUUCUGUUGUUGUUGUUGUUAGUAGCCAUUCUAAUUAGUAUGAGGUGAUAUUGGGGUUUCCGUUUACAUUUCUCUGAUGAUUAGGGAUGUUGAACAUCUUUUCAUAUACUUGUUGGCCAUUUUGUAUAUCUUCUUUGGAGAAAUGUCUGUUCGAGUCCUUUGCCCAUUUUUUAACCAAGUUAUUUGACUCUUUCAUUGUUUAAUUAUAGAAGUUCUUUAUGUAUUCUGGAUACUAAUCCCUUAUCAAACAUAUGAUUUAAAAAUAUUUUCUCCCAUUCCAUAGGUUGCCUUUUUGUAUAUAUAAAUUUUAAUUAAAAAAUAGCUGAUGAGGAACUUCCCUGGUGGCGCAGUGGUUAAGAAUCCACCUGCCAGUGCAGGGGACACGGGUUCGAUCCCUGGUCCAGGAAGAUCCCACAUGCUGCAGGGCAACUAAGCCUGUGAGCCACAACUACUGAGCCUGCACUCUAGAGCCUGCGAAUCACAAGUACUGAGCCCACGUGCCACAACUCCUGAAGCCCGUGUGCCUAGAGCCCAUGCUGUGCAACAAGAGAAACCACCACAAUGAGAAGCCUGUGCGCCACAACGAAGAGUAGCCCCUGCUCACCACAACUAGAGAGAAAAGCCCGCACCCAGCAAUGAAGACCCAAUGCAGCCAAAUAAAUAAAUAAAUAAAAUUAUUUUUAAAAUAGCUGAUGAAAA